UCCUAGUUCGUCUAGUGGCUAAGAUAUCCGCCUCUCAUCGGAGUUUGAAAUAAACGUCGAUUAUCGCGGGCGACCGGGGUUCGAUUCCCCGACUGGGAA